UGAUAUUUACAUUUUAGCG
rnacentral:snRNA from 1 species